rnacentral:rRNA from 1 species
GGCUUUUUGAUGUUUAAUUUAAGGUCUAGCCUGCCCAAUGAUUAUUUAAAUGGCCGCGGUAUUUUGACCGUGCUAAGGUAGCAUAAUCAUUAGUUUUUUAAUUGAGGACUGGAAUGAAAGGUUUAAUGAGAAAAUUUCUGUCUCUAAAUAAAAGAUUGAAUUUAAUUUUUGUGUAAAAAAGCUUAAAUUUUUUUGUAAGACGAUAAGACCCUAUAGAGUUUUAUUAAUGUUGAAUUUAUUUAUUUUGGAAAAUAAUAUAAUUUAAAUUUAGUUUUAAUUUGGUUGGGGUGAUCAGAAAAUUAGUUUAACUUUUCUUUGGUGUUUACAUUAAUAAAUGGUUGAUUGGUCCAUAAUUUGUGAUUAUAAGAUUAAAUUACCUUAGGGAUAACAGCGUUAUUUUUCUUGAGAGUUCUUAUUGAAAGAAAAGUUUGCGACCUCGAUGUUGGAUUAAAAUUAAAUUUUGGUGCAGAAGCCAG